GACGAACGCUGGCGGCGUGCUUAACACAUGCAAGUCGAACGGAAAGGCCCUGCUUUUGUGGGGUGCUCGAGUGGCGAACGGGUGAGUAACACGUGAGUAACCUGCCCUUGACUUUGGGAUAACUUCAGGAAACUGGGGCUAAUACCGGAUAGGAGCUCCUGCUGCAUGGUGGGGGUUGGAAAGUUUCGGCGGUUGGGGAUGGACUGGCGGGUUAUCCGCUUGUUGGUGGGGUAGUGGCUUACCAGGGCUUUGACGGGUAGCCGGCCUGAGAGGGUGACCGGCCACAUUGGGACUGAGAUACGGCGCAGACGGCUACGGGAGGCAGCAGGGGGGAAUAUUGCAGAAUGGGCGGAAGCCUGAUGCAGCAACGCCGCGUGCGGGAUGACGGCCUUCGGGUUGUAAACCGCUUUCGCCGGUGACGAAGCGUGAGUGACGGUAAUGGGUAAAGAAGCACCGGCUAACUACGUG
rnacentral:rRNA from 1 species